GGAUGUGAGAACAAUUUGGCUUUGACACGUGAUACUCCAUGAUUACUGGUGUUGAUUCAUCUGAUGUGGGUGGCAGGAGGCUGUCCCCUUCCUCAUUCUCAUUUCCUUGACUCCUCUUUUGAAAUCUUAAGAUGAAAGAGAAUGAUCUAUCCAGAUGGAAGAAAACCGCACUUUAGUCAAGAGUAUAUGAAUGCAUAUGCUUUUUAACCUAAAAUCUCUAAGCUUUCAAAGAAUCUCUUUUUCUUUGAAAUCUCAUUAUAAGAAUAUGAAUCAGGCUAUUUAUCAAUUGAUCACCUGGCCAUCACCUGAUGAUCACCUGGCCAUGAU
rnacentral:snRNA from 1 species